GCUAACGCAUUAAGUAGACCGCCUGGGGAGUACGGCCGCAAGGUUAAAACUCAAAUGAAUUGACGGGGGCCCGCACAAGCGGUGGAGCAUGUGGUUUAAUUCGAUGCAACGCGAAGAACCUUACCAUCUCUUGACAUCCAGAGAAUUUAGCAGAGAUGCUUUAGUGCCUUCGGGAACUCUGAGACAGGUGCUGCAUGGCUGUCGUCAGCUCGUGUUGUGAAAUGUUGGGUUAAGUCCCGCAACGAGCGCAACCCUUAUCCUUAGUUGCCAGCACGUAAUGAUGGGAACUCUAAGGAGACUGCCGGUGACAAACCGGAGGAAGGUGGGGACGACGUCAAGUCAUCAUGGCCCUUACGAGAUGGGCUACACACGUGCUACAAUGGCAAGUACAAAGGGUUGCAAACUCGCGAGAGUAAGCGGAUCCCAUAAAGCUUGUCGUAGUCCGGAUUGGAGUCUGCAACUCGACUCCAUGAAGUCGGAAUCGCUAGUAAUCGUGGAUCAGAAUGCCACGGUGAAUACGUUCCCGGGCCUUGUACACACCGCCCGUCACACCAUGGGAGUGGGCUGCAAAAGAAGUGGAUAGCUUAACCUUCGGGAGGGCGUUCACCACUUUGUGGUUCAUGACUGGGGUGAAGUCGUAACAAGGUACC
rnacentral:rRNA from 1 species